rnacentral:rRNA from 1 species
UACGGAGGAGGCAAGCGUUAUCCGGAAUUAUUUGGCGUAAAGCGUCCGCAGGUGGCUAUUCAAGUCUGCGGUCAAAGACUGGGGCUUAACCCUGGAAAGGCCGUGGAAACUGAAGAGCUAGAGUGCAGUAGGGGUAGAGGGAAUUCCCGGUGUAGCGGUGAAAUGCGUAGAGCUCGGGAAGAACAUCGGUGGCGAAAGCGCUCUGCUGGACUGCAACUGACACUCAGGGACGAAAGCUAGGGGAGCGAAUGGG